rnacentral:rRNA from 1 species
UACAGAGGGUGCGAGCGUUGUUCGGAAUUACUGGGCGUAAAGCGCGCGAGGUGGUGUGUUAAGUCUGCCGGUCAAAUGCCGAGGCUCAACCUCGUGCCCGCCGGGAUACUGGCACGCUAGAGACACGUAGAGGCAAGCGGAAUUCCUGGUGUAGCGGUGGAAUGCGCAGAUAUCAGGAGGAACACCAAUGGCGAAGGCAGAUCUCUGGGCCGUAACUGACGCUGAGGAGCGAAAGCAUGGGGAGCGAACAGG